AACUGAACAGGGCAAUGUUGAAUGUGAUGCUGGAGAUGCUUUCAAUGCUUGACAGGUAUCCAAAUAGCUUCAAAGGGUCCAAGGCAAGCUGUUUGACACCUUACUUGAACUUGAAUCAAGCUGGAAAUGAAGAUGGCCACUGAACUGGUUUUUGCUUGAUUUUGAGAAAGGUGAUGUUUUUGAUUUUCAAACAGUGAGCAAUGGAGGUUUGAGACAGCUUCAAUAUACCCUAUGGAUCAUGACAAACUAAUUUGCUAAGCUUGGAAUGGCCUGAGAGUGAAA
rnacentral:lncRNA from 1 species